rnacentral:misc_RNA from 1 species
GUUUGGGAUCAUUUUUGUGCACUGCACACUGUGCAACCAAUGGGACCGACUUAUUUGCUCUUUUAAGGGUUUAAGGCUUUUCACCGAAUUACUAAUACUGGCACCAAAAUAGCUUCUGUAGAGGCAUUCUUGUGUUCACACUGCAAUGGGAGCUGCAGCGCCUUGAAUUUUAGGGUAUGAAACUAAGGGCACAUUGGGAUUGACUGUAGUUUCAGCUCACUAGGUUGAUAUUAUAAGGGUCUGCAUCUGAUGGCCCA